rnacentral:rRNA from 1 species
AUGGAUCAGUUCCAUCACGGCCACCACGUGCGGCUGCGCAGCCCCGUGCGCGGCGCGUACCUGCACGCCGACGAGGACGGCCACGGCGUCUCCCUCCACGGCCGCCGGGAUUCGAUGAACGUGGCCUGGGCGGUCCAUCUGGUCGAGGGUGACGACGUGCACUACCUUCACCUCCACAGCGCCGCCUACGGCCGCUACCUCGCCGCCUCCGCGACCGCGCCGGCGCCGCUCGGCCACCGCGGGCUCCGCGUCGAGCAGCGCAACUACAACCAUACGGAUGAGACCGCACUCGUUUGGCUGGCCAUCCUGUCGGACUCCGGGGACGAGGUCCUGCUCCAGCACUUCAACGGCCGCUUCCUCCGCGCCAACGGGAGGUACCUCCCCUGGAACGACGGCGCCAGCGUCGAUUACAUCAGCGACAUCCAUCGAGUCAGCACGAUGAUGCACUGGGCCGUGGAGCACGUCCCCGCGAGGGAGGCCAUGCCUCCCCUUCCACCUCCGACUGGGCUUCCCUUCCCCGCCGCCAUGGUGCCGUCGCGGGUGAUCACGUACGCGUGGAGGAGCUUCCACGGGGACCUCCUCGCCAGCGGCACCAUCGUGUUCAGGGGGAGAUCCGUGUUCUGCCUCAGGGAGGAGCUGGCCAGGCGGCUGGGCCUGGGCGUGGGCCUCCUUGCAAACUUGGGCGCCGACGACAUCGUCAUGUGCCUCCCCACACGUGAUGCCCGGCUUUUCCCGCUCGUCGUCGACCUGCCCAACAGCCGCCAGAGCCUCCACAUCGCCAUCGCCAUCACCGAGACGCCCACCCACGCGGCGAUGCGGUAUGCGGAUGUCGAUGCAGAGUAG